UAUAAUACAACAGAUUAAUACAAAACAGCAAUAAUUCCGUAUAUCCAGGAAAGUGUCCACCCCGAUCAUCUGGAAAUAGAUCGUGUACCAGUUCCUGUAAGAGUGACUCUAACUGUCUAACUGCCGAGAAGUGCUGCAGCAAUGGACGUGGACGUUACUGUACUGCUCCGUAUACAGUGAAGCCAGGUCAAUGUCCCAACCUGAAGAACAUUCCACUGUUUGCUGAAAGCUGUUUCCAUGAUGGCCAGUGUCCUGCCACACAGAAAUGUUGCCCAACCACCAGUGUCCGUGCAUGCAGUGAACCACGUGGUCAAGGAAGAGGCUAUGGUCAGGGUCAGGGAAGCGGCUAUGGUCACGGUCAGGGUAGCGGCUUUGGCCAGGGUAGCGGCUAUGGUCAGGGAAGCGGCUAUGGUCACGGUCAGGGUAGCGGCUUUGGCCAGGGUAGCGGCUGUGGUCAUGGCCAGGGAAGCGGCUAUGGUCACGGUCAGGGUAGCGGCUUUGGCCAGGGUAGCGGCUGUGGUCACGGCCAGGGCAGCGGCGGCCAGGGAAGCGGCUAUGGUCACGGCCAGGGUCACGGCCAGGGAAGCGGCUAUGGUCACGGUCAGGGUAGCGGCUGUGGUCAUGGCCAGGGUAGCGGCUAUGGUCACGGUCAGGGUAGCAGCUUUGGCCAGGGAAGCGACCAGGGAAGUGGCGAGGGCCAGGGAAGCGGUCACGGUCAGGCAUACUGAUUCAUAUGCCUUGAAUCAGUACAAAGAC
rnacentral:lncRNA from 1 species